rnacentral:rRNA from 1 species
AACGAACGCUGGCGGCAUGCCUAACACAUGCAAGUCGAACGAGACCUUCGGGUCUAGUGGCGCACGGGUGCGUAACGCGUGGGAACCUGCCCUUAGGUUCGGAAUAACUCCCCGAAAGGGGUGCUAAUACCGGAUAAUGUCUUCGGACCAAAGAUUUAUCGCCUUUGGAUGGGCCCGCGUUGGAUUAGCUAGUUGGUAGGGUAAAAGCCUACCAAGGCGACGAUCCAUAGCUGGUCUGAGAGGAUGAUCAGCCACACUGGGACUGAGACACGGCCCAGACUCCUACGGGAGGCAGCAGUGGGGAAUAUUGGACAAUGGGCGAAAGCCUGAUUCAGCAAUGCCGCGUGAGUGAUGAAGGCCUUAGGGUUGUAAAGCUCUUUUACCCGGGAUGAUAAUGACAGUACCGGGAGAAUAAGCACCGGCUAACUCCGUG